CUACGUGCCAGCAGCCGCGGUAAUACGGAAGGUCCAGGCGUUAUCCGGAUUUAUUGGGUUUAAAGGGAGCGUAGGCUGGAGAUUAAGUGUGUUGUGAAAUGUAGACGCUCAACGUCUGAAUUGCAGCGCAUACUGGUUUCCUUGAGUACGCACAACGUUGGCGGAAUUCGUCGUGUAGCGGUGAAAUGCUUAGAUAUGACGAAGAACUCCGAUUGCGAAGGCAGCUGACGGGAGCGCAACUGACGCUUAAGCUCGAAGGUGCGGGUAUCAAACAGGAUUAGAUACCCUGGUAGUCCGCACAGUAAACGAUGGAUGCCCGCUGUUGGUACCUAGUAUCAGCGGCUAAGCGAAAGCAUUAAGCAUCCCACCUGGGGAGUACGCCGGCAACGGUGAAACUCAAAGGAAUUGACGGGGGCCCGCACAAGCGGAGGAACAUGUGGUUUAAUUCGACGCAACGCGAAGAACCUUACCAGGUCUUGACAU
rnacentral:rRNA from 1 species